GGAGAGAUGGCUGAGUGGUCGAAAGCGGCAGAUUGCUAAUCUGUUGUACAAAAUUAAUUGUACCGAGGGUUCGAAUCCCUUUCUCUCCU
rnacentral:tRNA from 4 species